rnacentral:rRNA from 1 species
AGCGAACGCUGGCGGCAGGCCUAACACAUGCAAGUCGAACGGGCAUCUUCGGAUGUCAGUGGCAGACGGGUGAGUAAUACGUGGGAACGUACGCUUCGAUUCGGAAUAACUCUGGGGAACUUGAGCUAAUACCGGAUCUGCCCUUUUGGGGACAGGUUUCCUGCCGAAGGAUGGGCCCGCGCCUGAUAAGCUGGUCGGUGGGGUAACGGCCUACCAAAGCGACGAUCUGUAGCUGGUCAGAGAGGAUGAGCAGCCACACUGAGACUGAGACACGGCCCAGACUCCUACGGGAGGCAGCAGUGGGGAAUAUUGGACAAUGGGCGCAAUCCAGAUCCAGCCAGGCCGCGUGAGUGAUGAAGGCCUGAGGGUUGUAAAGCUCUUUUGUCCGGGACGAUAAUGACGGUACCGGAAGAAUAAGCCCCGGCUAACUUCGUG